rnacentral:rRNA from 1 species
AGGGCUUGACCAGAAAUAUAAUGUAUUGUUUAGUUUAUGACCUAACCCCAUUUGCGAAAUGUAUUUAGAGCAAAUGGAUGGUAGGUCAAACGCAACGAGAACCAAAUCUAUACAAGCGUAGCGAACAAAUAGAUUUGUGUUUCGAGACUGCGUUUGUCAAUGAAAAAAUUUAAAAAACAAAUUAAUAGUUGACAAUCCUAGAAUAAGUAUAUAAAAUAUAGUUUGUGCAAAAGCCUAAAGAAUUGCAAACUUUGUGCAAAAGCCUAAAGAAUUGCAAACAAUGAAUUGAUAACUAAAUAAAAUCUGGUGGCAAUGGCAAGAGGGAUACACCUGUAUUCCAUACCGAACACAGAAGUUAAGCCUCUUAGCGCCGAUGGUACUUGGGUGGAGACGCCCUGGGAGAGUAGGACGCUGCCAGAU